rnacentral:snoRNA from 2 species
AAGACUGGUUUAGGAGUUAUUUCUGUAGCUUCUGUGUAGAGUCCUCAACAUCCACGAAAACAGCUCUUGGUAUUGCUCCUGUAACUGCCAUUUGCCAUGGAUGACUGUUUUCUUCCUCUGGAGGAAUAAGGGGAGGGGAUGCUGUCUGAGUGGC